GUGACCGCGAGGUCAAAGUUGGGGAUCGUAAGACCUGACGCUUUAAGAUGAGGCUGCGGCCUAUCAGGUAGUUGGCGGGGUAAUGGCCCACCAAGCCUAAGACGGGUAGCUGGUCUGAGAGGACGACCAGCCACACUGGAACUGAGACACGGUCCAGACACCUACGGGUGGCAGCAGUCGAGGAUUUUUCUCAAUGGGGGAAACCCUGAAGGAGCGACGCCGCGUGAGGGAUGAAGGUCUUCGGAUUGUAAACCUCCGUCAUCUGGGAACAAAGCGCUCCACCUAACACGUGGAUUGUUGAUAGUACCGGAAGAGGAAGCAGUGGCUAACUCUGUGCCAGCAGCCGCGGUAAUACAGAGACUGCAAGCGUUGUUCGGAUUCAUUGGGCGUAAAGGGUGCGCAGGCGGUCCCGGUAAGUUGGAUGUAAAAU
rnacentral:rRNA from 1 species